GCACAGACAAAGUCUCAGUGUUUAAGUCCAGGCUAAAAACACAUUUGUUUAGUCUAUCUUUUUAUGAAUAGCUUUUCUUAGAUAAAGUAGUAUAUCUGGAGGGUUCAUGGGCAUGUUUGAUGCCUGUAUACUGUCAGCUUACCACCCUCGCAGGUCGCUCAGGUUUGAAGACUGUGGAGUGGUGGGAUGCUUUACAUCCCAGGAAGCUCUCAUGUUGGUCACACCUUCUGGCCCUAGCCUUUUAGUUAUGCUGUCAUAGCUAGUCUUGCCAGAGUCCCUGUCUGCACUUUGCACAUAAUUUACACUGUCCAUCACUGAUUACAGUCAUACCUAGCAAUUUUUCUCUUUCUCUCUUUCAAGCUAUAUAUGCCGCUCCCGGUGUUCCGAGUUCCUAGCCUGAUGUUUUUUUUUUGUUUUUUUUUUACCUUAGUGAGUUCCUAGGUAUGUUAUUCUGACCUUAGACUGUACCUAGAGUGUCCCCAAGUAUGUUAUUCUGACCUUAGACUGUAUCUAGAGUGUCCCCAGGUAUGUUAUUUUGACCUUAGACUGUACCUAGGUAUGUAACUCUGACCUUAGACUGUACCUAGAGUGUCUCCAAGCAUGUUAUUUUGGCUUUAGAGUGUCACUAUGUUAUAAUGACUUUAGAUUCUCCAUAGGUAUGUUAUACUGACCUUAGUGUGCCUAGAGUGCUCCCAGGAAUUGUUAACCAAGAUUAAGUGAAGUGUUGCAUAACCCAGGGUAAAAAAGCAAUGAUAACCUCGCAUCUAAAUAGUAAUUGCAAAAUGUUCCUCUACCAGGAGGUUAAAAGCAGGUUUUAGAAUGAGAGAAUCAAAAUGAUAGCCAGAAUGGCAUAUUCCUACACCAAAUUUUCUGUAUACACCAAACCUGGUCACUUGGCAAUCCUAAUGAACAUAAGUCAUACUUGACACACUGAAUGGCAUCCUGCAUUUAGUGUAAUAACUAUGCAGACUUUUGCAGUUAUGUACAGUUUAUGUUCUAUAGUUUAAUUUGAUCGGUAGUUGUAUACAUAGUAGAGAAGAUGUACUGUAACAGAUUGUACAGGGUGGAGCAGAACUGCAAGAUGAUUACAGGCAGUGAAGGUUUAGUGAGACAUCAGGGUCCAAGCAGUGUACUUUAGAGUUUAGUUUAAGAAAUGUUUGAUGAACGUCAUGUGAUAUGGUUAAAAAACUUUCCUGGAAUCUUAAAUAUCUACGUGGAUCAGACGCAGAACAUGAUCACAAUCUGAGAUCAGACAGACGUCUUACAGUGAACUGUGUAAUAAUUAAUAAAUAAAUACAUACAUGCAUACAUACAUACAUACAUAAAUACAUAAACAAUAAGAAAGUCUUGAGCUCUGGAGCAAGGUCCUUAAUCCUCUAUGAUAAAAGGAUGCUGAAUUUGUGCUAUGACCUUAACCUCGAAACAAACAGGGAUAUGCAAAAAAAAAUUAUUUUACUGAGCUGUAAUGUAUAGGAUACUUUUAAAAAAGUGCUUUGUAAGUUGCUCUAUUUGCAUAUUAUCUCUGACGUGUAGAUACUUUGAAACCAUAGAAACAAACAUUUAGUAAUGUGGUUGUCUCUCCAAGUCUUUAAUCAGUCAUUCAUCUCAUGGACAGGCCUCCGAGACUGAGUGACGCAGGAGUGACAUUAGAGCGGUGAGUUGCGCCCGUCAGUCGGUGGGUGUUUUCAUGUGCGCAGGGACAAAUAUAACAUUAACACCCCGACUUAAGGUAGACAGAAAGAACAGUCAUGAUGAAAGGAGCUGUGCUUAUCCUUCUGUUCCUGAUUGGCCUUUUUCAAAGCUCUUCUCUCGCUGGGCCCCUGGACAGGCUUCAGAUGCCAGAAAUCCAGACAGAAGCUGUGGAGACCGGACCUUUAGAUGAGUCUCAGAAUGGGAUAGCUCAGUCUAUUGGUGUUCGGCUGAGAAGAGAGACCCUCAUCAUCUCAAAAACACCUGACCGUUUCUGUCCUGGCUGCUUCUCUGUCAUCGGUGACCCAACCAGACCACAGCAGUAACUAACCUAAGAGGAAAAAAAAAACAAUUUGACUCUAUUUUAUAACUUUUUUUACUUGGAGUAUUUUAUAUGUAUACAACUAUUAAGUUUUAGCUUUGAUGAAUAAAACACGCCUGUUUAUCAUCUUCUGUUAAAAAAAAGUGUUGUUUUUUUUAGUGUUUUAUGUAUUUGUACUUUUAUGUGAUGUAUAUUUGUUCUUUUUUUUUCAUUGCAACCAAAGCAUUACUGCACCUGUAAUUUGUGGAUUUCCUAAACUGUCACGUAAUUACAUGGAUUAGAGAUUGACGUCCGAGCGACUGGUUUGGCGCUGUGUCAUUACGACCACAGAGUAUUAUUAUGAUGCUUGGAGGUGUGGUCUGCGACAAUUAAGGCGAUUAUUCUCUCAGCCCACCUUGACCAGUCAUUUUUCACGUUGGACACUUUUUCUAUCCCAGGCUGUAAUUUUGGAGGGAGAGGUUUUGCUUACUUUCUGAGAAAUUGUUCAAAACAUCUAGUAUACAAUUAAAUGUAUACAAUUAAAAUGCAAGGCAUGUUUUGGAGUGUGACUUACAUCCAUGUGGUUUAUUAUUGUCAUUAAAUAUAUCUCACUUUUUUAAAAUAUAUAAUUAAUUCAAGUCAUGGAGCAAAAGGGCCAUUAGUACAAGUGAAAUUUAUACAUUUUAUAAAAAUAUUUCCUGAAGUGUCUGUAAUUGCAAGUGCAGGGUGAAGCCAUGCUUAUAAAGGCCAAUUCUUAUCUUUUGCCCUUUUCCCCCUCUUUCACUUCAGAAUCUGUGGGAAAAUAUUAAACUAAAAUGACUUAAGAGAGACCUACUGAAAGAAUAUAAUAAUAUUGAUUUUAUUAAAGUGGGGGGGGGGCA